rnacentral:rRNA from 1 species
CCCUUAGAUGUUCUGGGCCGCACGCGCGCUACAAUGGCAGACUCAGCGAGUUACCUCUGUCGAAGGGCACAGGGAAUCUUUACAGUAUCUGCCGUGAUGGGGAUAGACCCUUGUAAUUUUUGGUCUUCAACGAGGAAUUCCUAGUAAACGCAAGUCAUUAACUUGCAUUGAUUACGUCCCUGCCCUUUGUACACACCGCCCGUCGCACCUACCGAUUGAAUGGUCCGGUGAAGUCCUCGGACCCAGUUGAACCUCGAGUUGAACAGGGAAAGUUGACUAAAUCUUACCAUUUAGAGGAAGGUGAAGUCGUAACA